rnacentral:lncRNA from 1 species
GUCCCUGUCAAUGCUGGGCCCCUUUUUCUUAUCUCUUUCCCAGGAUACUCACCCAGGCCAGGAGACUGGACCAGGCCUUUUGGCCCUGCAGACUCCAUUUUGUUAAACAUAGCCCUUCCCCUUGCAUAGGCCAUUUGACCUCCCUCAGCCCAGGCCCUGUUCCCGGAUGCUGACAACUGCAGUGGGCCUGGGCCUUGAACUUCCCUCCUUUGUGCCACCAGCUCCCUCCCUUGCCUUCCUCCCCUCACCAGCCCUGUCUGUUUUCAUGCACCUCUUCCCCCAGAACUUGCCCUUGGCUCUCUGUUCCUGGGCCUGGCUCCUUGCUUGAGCCCCUGGCCAUCCUUCUUGAGGACCUUGCUCAUGUACCUUGAUUUCAGGCCCCUUAUUCGGGGGCCUGUUAUGACUUCCCUCUGUUUUCCUUGUGCUGUGUCAUCCUGGGAAUGCCUGGACUCUUCCUUUCACUGCUUCUGCCUAGACUGGGUUACUUGAUUGGGUCUUGCUCCCUACCAACUCCCCCACCAUAUCAGGACGAAAGGCAUUUCCUCGCAGUCCCCUCCUUUGGCCCUCCUUUGCUUCUGGUCCCUCUCUGAGGAUCUACUCACCCAGGGCAGACUACUGGCCUCUCUGUCCUGAUAUCUCCCUAUAGAAACACAGCCUUGUCCCUCCCCUGAUCCCCCUUGCUGCGGAAACCUGACACCUGGCAGUGGAAGUGUGCUUUGCACCAGACAUGCCCUGCACCAUUCCCUCCCUUCCCUCACCUGCCCUCUGGCCUUCAAUGCUGCUACAACCCUAACCCAGCCUCACUGACCCUGAACCUUCAACUGAGCCCCUG